AUUCUAAAGGGAGGGGGAGAGAGGCUGAUAGUGCUGGAAACUAGCAGGAAACCGAAAUCAACAGAGCUGCUUAUCGGAUUACUUGUCUAGGACUGCAAUAGUUGGAGACGCAGGAUAUGGCCUUCUGCCUUGGUUGAUGACCCCUGUGAGGUUUGCCCAAACACCUGCCCAACGUAGGUACAAUCGUGCCCAUCGGAAGACACGUAAUAUCAUUGAGCGCCUCUUUGGGGUGCUCAAAUCUCGCUUCCGAUGCCUCUCAGUCACUGGGGGAGCUCUGCUUUAUUCCCCCCAGAAGGUUUCACAAAUCAUCACUGUCUGUGCCAUGCUGCAUAAUGUGGCAAGGGAGCAUGGAUUACCUGCAGACAUUGAUGAUGACCUGGAACCUGAGAUUGAGGGGUAUGUUGGCAGACAGAGGGACAACCAACCAGAGGGAAGAAGAGUGCGUGAAAGGCUCAUCCGUGCCCACUUUUAGUUCCUGCUGAUGGUGAUGUGCUGACGUGCCCCUAGCAGUGAAUGCUUUCCUGUAACAUCUUAUGCUCUUUCUGGCCUACUACUGUGUUAUGGUUAUACUUCACGUGUGUCAAACUCUACUUUAUUAUCUUGGUACUUGCCCACAGAGGAUACAGACAUGGACACUGACUGAUUGGCCACGCCUCAAACUCCGUUAUUCAGCCUCUCCAUGUGCAAACUUUUCCUGAAGCACUAAAUUGGACUCAACACAAGUGACAGAUGUGAUGAACUGACAGCUGUUUGGCUCAUUUGAACCUGGCUGGUGUCACCUUUCGAAAACAUAUCAGUAUGGCUUCUUCUGUUUUCUUGUUUGAAAUGACAUUACCCAUGUUACUAUUUUGGACUAGCACCUUGUCAAAAAAGAAAAACAAACACACCCGGUAAUGUUUUAGUACCUUUACUGACACAAUCUUUGUCAAAAUCCAAAACAGUUGAACAACAAUAAAAAGA